AGCGUUUGGGUGGAUUUUCUUUUUGUUGAGCUGGUGGACAAAGACUUAAAAGGCAAGUGCUAAACAAACACUCAUUUGUAACCCAGAAUCCAUUGUUCUGUUUGCUUUUUUAGUAGAGACAAGAAGGAGUCCA
ensembl:snoRNA Gm24648 predicted gene, 24648